CACUAUGAACAAGAGGGUCUU
rnacentral:piRNA from 1 species